UACGGAGGGGGGCUAGCGUUGUUCGGAAUUACUGGGCGUAAAGCGCACGUAGGCGGCUUUGCAAGUCAGAGGUGAAAGCCCGGGGCUCAACCCCCGGAAUUGCCUUUGAGACUGCAUCGCUAGAAUUGUGGAGAGGUAAGUGGAAUUCCGAGUGUAGAGGUGAAAUUCGUAGAUAUUGGGAAGAACACCGGUGGCGAAGGCGGCGACCUGGUCCGAUACUGACGCUGAGGCGCGAAAGCGUGGGGAGCAACAGG
rnacentral:rRNA from 1 species